rnacentral:misc_RNA from 1 species
UUCAGUUUCCAAUGGGGUAUAGGUAUGUCAGCUGUUUUGCACAUUAAAUUUUACUUUAGUUUAUUGUCAAUUCAUUAACCAUAGUGGUUUUAAUUUCUUGUUAAUUAUUUGUUGAUGCAUACAUGUAAAUCGCUCUUUUGAAACUGUCAAAUGUGUAUAUGAUGUUCACCAUUCUUUUCCCCACCUCUUUGCCUUUGGAAAGUGAAACAAAAAUUAUCUACACCUAUGUUUUUAUCUUUUAUUACUUAUUCCAAAUUAUCUGCUUUGCUCUAUUUUGAGGCCCUUAGUUUUUACAUUAGAUCUUGAUAUUGUUUGAAUAAAAAUGUUGUUUCUAAAUGACCAUAUUUUGAUAUCUUAAUUCUCAAGGGCUUUUUUGAUUGGAUAAUCUUCUUAUGAUGCAUCAAUUACAUUGGCUUCGUGGAGC